AGCUACGCGGCCUGUUCUACGGCAAGUCGAUCUGGGUGGAGAACUGCGACUGCUACUGGAAUGAACGUUGCCAACUGGUCUACUGUUCCCACGACCGCUGGCAGCUGAACCGCAAGGGCUGCCCCCUCCGACUGGAAGCCACAUGCUGGUGUACGAGGAGUUGGAACCUCGAGUCGGUCUCCCGUGUCAGUCUCGGCGCCACCAGACGUGCUCCUACUCAGCCCAUCCAGGAGGAGUGCGUGGAGUUGCGUUCUCGAGCCGUCGUCCGUGUGAGUCCCGGUGCCACCAGACGUCCUCCUAGCCAGCAGAGCUACGCGGCCUGUUGUACGGCAAGCUGAUCUGAGUGGAGAACUGCGACUGCUACUGGAAUGGACGUCGCCAGCUGAACCGCAAGGGCUGCGCCCUCCGACUGGAAGCCACAUGCGGGUGUACGAGGAGUUGGAACCUCGAGUCGGUCUCCCGUGUCAGUCUCGGCGCCACCAGACGUGCUCCUACUCAGCCCAUCCAGACGUGACACUCCUCUGCCGCUGACAAGAUCGAGCCACAACUAGGCACCCAAGCACGACCAAGAAGGCUGCCCGGCACAUAUUGGACUCAUUCGUGAAAUCAGGUCCGGCCCCAGCGAGCACGAAUGUGCACGGAGGGCUUUCAACUUCCAAAAGUUCGCCAUGAGUUUGCCUCGGGGGCCCCAUAACCACCGGAAUUCUCACUGACGUUAAUAAAGCAGUGAAACAUA